rnacentral:rRNA from 1 species
GACGAACGCUGGCGGCGUGCCUAAUACAUGCAAGUAGAACGCUGAAGCGAGGAGCUUGCUCUUCUUGGAUGAGUUGCGAACGGGUGAGUAACGCGUAGGUAACCUGCCUUGUAGCGGGGGAUAACUAUUGGAAACGAUAGCUAAUACCGCAUAACAAUGGAUGACACAUGUCAUUUAUUUGAAAGGGGCAAUUGCUCCACUACAAGAUGGACCUGCGUUGUAUUAGCUAGUAGGUGAGGUAAUGGCUCACCUAGGCGACGAUACAUAGCCGACCUGAGAGGGUGAUCGGCCACACUGGGACUGGGACACGGCCCAGACUCCUACGGGAGGGAGCAGUAGGGAAUCUUCGGCAAUGGGGGCAACCCUGACCGGGCAACGCCGCGUGAGUGAAGAAGGUUUUCGGAUCGUAAAGCUCUGUUGUAAGUCAAGAACGGGUGUGAGAGUGGAAAGUUCACACUGUGACGGUAGCUUACCAGAAAGGGACGGCUAACUACGUG